GUGGGGCUCCGGCCCCAUUGAGAUAGCACCCUUUGUUUAUGAGUACCCUUGUUUCCUCGGCGGGCUUGCCCGCCAUGAGGACAUUAAAAACCCUUUGUAGUAGUAGUAACUUCAGUUAAUAAUAAAUAUUAAAACUUUCAGCAACGGAUCUCUUGGUUCU
rnacentral:misc_RNA from 1 species